GUUCCUCACGAGCGUUUGAAAAAUGUGGCGUUUAGGAGGUCACGUGCCGAGGUUCGACCGUGCAGCAAGUCCCCCUGACCGGGGCUGUAACCCAGAGUGGGUGCGAGGCCCAUAGCUGCUGUGUCUACCUUGGAUGUUACCUCUUGGGAGUCGGGUUGCUUGGGAGUGCAACCCUAAGUGGGUGGUAAACUCCACCUAAGACUAAAUACAGCCGUGAGACCGAUAGCAAACAAGUACCGUGAGGGAAAGUUGCAAAGAACUUUGAAGAGAGAGUUCAAGAGUACGUGAAACUGCUCAGAGGCAAACAUGUGGGCCCUCGAAAUCCUCCGGCCAGGGGAUUCAGUCAGGAAAGGCUGAGGUGGUGUGCGAUAUUAACGGACCCUAUCCGGGGCCGGGUCGCUACUGCGGUCUCAGUUUGACCUGACGCAUUUCCUCCUGCACAAGGACGCCGCAUCCGGUUGGGUAGCUGCGUGAGUCGGCCAUGAGGACGAGCGAUGGAAGUUGGCCGGUGGCGUUGCUCUGCACUGCCGGUUGUUAGCCUGUUUGUCCGUGGCACGACACCCGACCGAGGUUAAUUCGUUCCCUCUCGGGAACUGGCCGUCCCCUUCGGAGCAGAUGCUGGAAGGUGUUUCAUGGAAUCGCUUCUUCACUCUAGAAGUGUGUGGCGAUCCGUGUUCCCUGUUGGUGUUCAACGGCUAGCGGCGAGUAAGUCGGUCACCCACAUGGCCCGUCUUGAAACACGGACCAAGGAGUCUAACAUGUGCGCGAGUCACGGGGUCUUGAAUAGGCCCAGAGGCGCAAUGAAAGUGAAAGUCGAUCUUGCAUCGGCCGUGUUGGGAUCUCUCGUCCUUUGUGGCGGGAAAGCACCAACGAUCCGUCCUAUCCGAUUUAUCGGUUGGCUGGAAUCUGAGCGUACACGUUGGGACCCGAAAGAUGGCGAACUAUGCCUGGGCAGGACGAAGCCAGAGGAAAC
rnacentral:rRNA from 1 species